AAUUUCGUAGUUUAUAAAAAACGCAAAAUUGCAAAUUUUGAAAAGAAAAAUCCGAAAUUU
rnacentral:tRNA from 1 species